GCCAGUGUGGUGUAGUGAUUUAAAUGCUGGACUGCAACUCUGGAGGUCAGGGUUUGAAUCCCUUUGGCC